UUAAUUUAGAUUCAAAUUUAAAAGUUUAAUAUAAAUUUCAAAAUUAAAAUUUUACAUUACAAUACCAAUUUCAAAAAUUAAAUUUAAAUUCAAUAUUUUUUUGAGUUGGAUACUUAACAAAUUGGGUAUCAUCUAAUUUGGUAAGUUAUCAAAGUAAAUAAGAUAUUUAAUAUUUAAAAGAUGCUGACAAAUUUGGUAUUUACUAAUUUUUUUUUUCCAAUAUUGUCAUGUUAACUAAUUCAAAUCGGUAAUAUGUUCAACAGGUUACUUCAUUUAAAUUCCAACUAUACCCUUUACUAAUUAAGAGAUUAAAUUUUAAUAUUUAUGAUGUAUUGAAGCAUUCCUCUAUUUUUAAAAGGUGGCAUUAACUAUGUAAGUUUAUCUCUUGAUUAAAAAU
rnacentral:lncRNA from 1 species